GACGAACGCUGGCGGCGUGCCUAAUACAUGCAAGUAGAACGCUGAAGGAGGAGCUUGCUUCUCUGGAUGAGUUGCGAACGGGUGAGUAACGCGUAGGUAACCUGCCUGGUAGCGGGGGAUAACUAUUGGAAACGAUAGCUAAUACCGCAUAAUAGCAGUUAUUGCAUGAUAACUGUUUGAAAGGUGCAAUUGCACCACUACCAGAUGGACCUGCGUUGUAUUAGCUAGUUGGUGGGGUAACGGCUCACCAAGGCGACGAUACAUAGCCGACCUGAGAGGGUGAUCGGCCACACUGGGACUGAGACACGGCCCAGACUCCUACGGGAGGCAGCAGUAGGGAAUCUUCGGCAAUGGACGGAAGUCUGACCGAGCAACGCCGCGUGAGUGAAGAAGGUUUUCGGAUCGUAAAGCUCGGUUGUAAGAGAAGAACGAGUGUGAGAGUGGAAAGUUCACACUGUGACGGUAUCUUAACAGAAAGGGACGGCUAACUACGUG
rnacentral:rRNA from 1 species